UUGGAGCUUUUGUCUCGGUUGGUGGAUCCAACCGGGUAUAAAAGGUGGCGCCGUCGGUGCCCGGAAACCAGCCGUUUUAACCGAGAUUAAAGGGUGGCCUGUAGUCCCGGUUGCAAAAAAAGAACCGAGAGUAAAGGUGCGCCCCAUUCCAGCCUACCGUGGCGCACCCCCUUUUAUCCCGGAUCGAAAUUAAAUCGAGACUAAAGGGAAUGGGAUCUAAAGUCAGUUCUGUAGUAGUGAAUGACUUUAUAUCUUCUUCAUUCGCAAUGUUGAGUCUUGAGUGUCGGCAGAUGAAGUGGCUUGCCACUGUCCACACCCUCCACAAUCAUGGCCUUACCGUGAUUCAGUUUUUUUUUUUGCGAGUUUACUGUGAUUCAGCUCCUCCUCCUUUCCUCUUCUUUUCCUCCAUCAAUGCUUGCACGGGCACUGUGCCCCCCGUACGCGACAAUGCGGGGUGGUUGGAAAUGCUGCAGCCGGUUGGUUCUGGUGGGCCAAUUCGUGUGGUUGCAGCUAGUGAUGGCUGCCUCCUGCACAGAUCCACUCCAACACCCCGCGCCUGCAGUAAAAGGUUAAUAAUUUAGGUUAGCACCCACAACAGUAAGGUUGAUCAGAUUGCAAACAGUUUGCUAUGGUUCAUCCCGAUCAGCUGCUAUUGCUACGACUACGAGUGAACUCGUGCAUGACAACAUGUUAAUAAUCAGUGAUACCAAGUAGCAUUGCAUCGAUGAAAAAUAUACAUACAUAGACACCUGUAUGGGGGUGACUUCUUUAUCAAACUGCACACAACCAUUCCCCAGGCUGCUUAUAUUUACAGCUAUAAUGCAGAGAGAAUGCUUGUUUAUGUUUCUUUCAGUUUUGUCUAACUUGGAGAUGUUAAGAUUAAAAUGGAACUAUAUGUCAGAUUUUCGUUUUCCCCUGCUUUAAAAGACAUGUUUAAUUGAACAUAACAUGUUCUUGUCUCUGUUUUAGGAAUAUAAUCAGCACGAUCUGUAAACAACUAAACAUUGCAACAUUUGUUUGGUUUUCUAUUUCCAUGCUUGAUAACACUAAUACACUAUCACUGAUUCUUUUCUCAACAUGUAACCAAAUGCAUGCCUAGAUAAGCUUUCCUUAGAUGAUCCUAAAUAAUGAUAUUUCUCUAUGGAUGUAGAAAUCAGAGGAAUGGGUGACAGAGAGGGUGAACCAACUAAAAGAGAAAAUAAGUGGGCUAUUUGAAGCUUGCACAACUAUAGCUGAGCAACUCAAGCUAGUGGACACACUCCAACAUCUAAGUAUAGACCAUCAUUUCGACAAACAGAUUCUUGCCACCUUAAGUAGAAUCCAUGGUACUGAAUUCAACAGCAGUUGUCUCCAUGAGGUUGCCCUUCGAUUCCGCCUACUGAGGCAGCAAGGGUUUUGUGUAUCUCCAGGUACAUAAUGAAAAGCAAGAGCUCCUGAUAUAGGCAUUUGACAUUUUGUAUAUAUGCUUCUUGAUUCCGCCAAAUGAUUCUUAAUACAUGGAAAUUUUAUCAGACGUAAGAAAACAUGUUCCUGCUUACUAGUUCUAAAAAUUCAUAGCAAUUCACAGCAUAGAAAUCUUGCUUGCAACAAUAAAAUACGCAUGCAGAGAUAGGAUCACCCAAUGCUAAUAAGCUAAUAAGAUGCAUGACUUUCAUAUAAUCUGAUUGUUCGAUCUUGCAGAUGAAUUCAACAGGUUCAAAGAUGAAAAUAGGAACUUUCAUCUUGACAUGACUAAUGAUGCAAGGGGACUACUAAGUUUAUAUAAUGCAGCUUACCUUUUCACUCAUGGAGAGGCAGAACUUGAAGAGGCUAUCUUUGCAAGGGAACAUCUUGAAUCAAUGAGAAAUAACCUUGAACACCCAUUGGCUCAGCAAGUGAACCGAGCCCUUCACCUACCACUGCCACGAACCUUAAGAAGAGUUGAAGCUCUACAUUAUAUCUCAGAGUACAAAGGAGAGCCGACACAUAACUCCUCCCUUCUGGAGUUUGCCAAGCUGGAUUUUAACCUUCUGCAACGUCUCCACUUGAAGGAGCUCAAGGCUCUUUC
rnacentral:lncRNA from 1 species